rnacentral:rRNA from 1 species
GGGGGGGGCAAGCGUUGUUCGGAAUUACUGGGCGUAAAGGGCUCGUAGGCGGCCAACUAAGUCAGACGUGAAAUCCCUCGGCUUAACCGGGGAACUGCGUCUGAUACUGGAUGGCUUGAGUGUAGGAGAGGGAUGCGGAAUUCCAGGUGUAGCGGUGAAAUGCGUAGAUAUCUGGAGGAACACCGGUGGCGAAGGCGGCAUCCUGGACUACUACUGACGCUGAGUGAGCGAAAGCCAGGGGAGCAAACGGGAUUAGAUACCCCGGUAGUCCUGGCCCUAAACGAUGAAUGCUUGGUGUGACGGGUAUCGAUCCCUGUCGUGCCGAAGCUAACGCAUUAAGCAUUCCGCCUGGGGAGUACGGUCGCAAGGCUG